AGCGAACGUUUGCGGCGGGCCUAACACAUGCAAGUCGAACGGGCUAGCAAUAGUCAGUGGCGCACGGGUGCGUAACACGUGGGUAAUCAACCCUUCAGCUCGGGAUAACGCCUUGAAAGGGGCGCUAAUACCGGAUACGACGCGAGGAGCUUCGGCUGCUUGCGGGAAAGAUUCGCAAGGAUCUCUGAAGGACGAGCCUGCGGCCCAUCAGCUAGUUGGUGAGGUAAGAGCUCACCAAGGCGAAGACGGGUAGCUGGUCUGAGAGGAUGAUCAGCCACACUGGAACUGAGACACGGUCUAGACUCCUACGGGAGGCAGCAGUGGGUAAUAUUGCGCAAUGGGCGAAAGCCUGACGCAGCCACGCCGCGUGAGCGAUGAAGGCCUUCGGUUGUAAAGCCUGUCGAGGGGAC
rnacentral:rRNA from 1 species